AUUGAACGCUGGCGGCAGGCUUAACACAUGCAAGUCGAGCGGGGUGAUGGUGCUUGCACUAUCACUUAGCGGCGGACGGGUGAGUAAUGCUUAGGAAUCUGCCUAUUAGUGGGGGACAACAUUUCGAAAGGAAUGCUAAUACCGCAUACGUCCUACGGGAGAAAGCAGGGGAUCUUCGGACCUUGCGCUAAUAGAUGAGCCUAAGUCGGAUUAGCUAGUUGGUGGGGUAAAGGCCUACCAAGGCGACGAUCUGUAGCGGGUCUGAGAGGAUGAUCCGCCACACUGGGACUGAGACACGGCCCAGACUCCUACGGGAGGCAGCAGUGGGGAAUAUUGGACAAUGGGCGGAAGCCUGAUCCAGCCAUGCCGCGUGUGUGAAGAAGGCCUUAUGGUUGUAAAGCACUUUAAGCGAGGAGGAGGCUACUUUAGUUAAUACCUAGAGAUAGUGGACGUUACUCGCAGAAUAAGCACCGGCUAACUCUGUGCCAGCAGCCGCGGUAA
rnacentral:rRNA from 1 species